rnacentral:lncRNA from 1 species
UUGGGAUCCACCCCCAUCUCCCCACGAAGGGCUAACCUCCCCGUACCCACCUCACCUUAUCUGCAUCCCCUCCAUCCAAAUCACACAAACGAAAAUCCAUUUUUCCCCACCCGGCCACCUCUCUCCCCCUGAUUCCUCUGUCUCUCUCGCACCACAGCGUUGUCGCCGCCAACUCCGAUCCCAGGAAGCUCCAGCGGACUCCAACCCACUGCUCACGGUUCUGCCCCACUCCAUCUAUGUUCUCCUCUGUUCCUUCGCCUGAGGCCACCGCGCCCCUGCACGCGUGGCACGCAACAACCCUAGCCGCCACGCGUCGCCGGCGUGGCUCCGGCAGCUCCGGUUUAUCGACCCACUACCCCUGCGGCCCUGCCUCACCUCACGCGCGGCAGCACGCUCGAGCUUGACGUUGGUAUUCCGCCUCUUCUACCUCAACUCCGGUGUUGACGUUUCUGGUUCUGGUGUUUACACGCUCGAGCUUGACGUUGGUAUUCCGCCUCUUCUACCUCAACUCCGGUGUUGACGUUUCUGGUUCUGGUGUUUAUUUGAUUAGAUGUGAUUCACCAUGUGUUGAUCUGUACUAAUUCUGGAUGAGUACUCUGUUAUGCGUUAUGGUUAGAGUUUCCUCCUCCUAUUUAGAUGGAUCGAUGGAUAAUUAAGUAUUUUUUCAAGUGAAAUUAAUCAUUACAUACUAGCAUGUAGCAUGACCUGUUCAAAGAUCAGCGCAGUUUUUUCUUAUAAAAAGAGAUCAACUUAGUUCCAAUUGGAGUGAGAUAGUCGAUCAGCGAUAUAUCAUAUGUGACCAUGUAUGUCACUGAAGAACAUUACUACAAAAAUCAACAUGUCAGUGCAAUUAUGGGUCCAUGAUACUGGCAUGAUUAUUUCAAAUGGAGAAUCCCCAUCUCAAUAGGCUGAAUCGUUGUUUACUUGGUGUCACAUGUACAAUAUACUAAAUAAAUAAGUCCCACUCGCAUCGGUCUGUCCAAUUAUUUGUCUUUAUUCUAUAACCCUUUGCUCCAUCUACACUCACAGGUUCUGACAUUGUCUUUUACUAAGUGUGUGCUUCUGCUGUUUCUUAACAGAUCGAUGUACAACACUUAUGCAUUACAAUCAGGAGAAAUCCAUGCAGAAGAAGCCUGAAGAAUUAUUCAAGUUAUUUGUUUAUAGCAUGGUGAGGAUCCUUUCGCUAGUUCAUGUUACAGUAAGGAAAACAUGAAUUUGUAUCUUAUUCUUUUUUUUGGUUGAUGUAAUAUUUGUUUUCCCCUGGCAAAAAGUUAUAUUAGUUUCAGUUUCUUAUUCAGUUAAAAUGUGCACACUACAAUCUCGAAGUUUAUGCAAAAGCUCAGAUGGAAAUCAUUCUUACACUCAUGUUAUCCAAUAUAAAUUGUUAAAUAAUUGAAAAAAUUUGAAGGUGCGAUACAAGAACAUCAUACCUUGGUAUUCUCGUCACAUGUAUAUGACUCAUAUUGUUGAAAUCUCACCUCUAAAUCGAGUUUAGUGCUCUUUUUUGGAAAUAUAGGUACUUCUGAAUUCCUGCAAUCUCUGUACUAAUUUUGUAUUUCGUGGGGAGCCACAGAUAUUUCCAAAUACUAGAAUGAUGCAUGAUUGGUCAGCACACAAACUCUUGGCCAGGUUCCUCUCACAUCUUAUCUUGUUUGUAAUAUAUUCUUCUUAAACUGUUAACACGAUGAGCAUGUACUUGUUUCAUCCAAGAACGUAAACAUGAAAAGUAUUCCUCUUGUGCACUCUCCUUCCCUGACAUACAGGGCACACUACGGUGGUUGGAUGAUACAACCAUAAACAGACAGCUAAGCGAUCAGAUGCGGCGACUGUGCGAGUGUGUCAGGUAUGUCGAAUUCACUGAUCCCAAACUAUUGGAUCUGACUAGGAUCUCCUCUUCUCUGUAAUACUUAGGACCUUCUCCUCUACCUACUCGGGCCAACAGUUUCAGCAUCCAGCAACCAUGGUGACAAAGAUGAACGUACUGGAACUGCUCUAAGUUUCAACAUUCUCGGUAAACAAGUGAACUAAGAAAGCCAAUCCUACUUAGUAAAUGUUGGCAUAUACUAAUACGCUGGCACUACUUAGUUUGCAUGAAUGUUGUGGUCUUCUAAAUUGCUAGAAUAAUUUCAAGUAGUUUAGUAGGAGUCUCUGCUUGUUUAACUAGCCAAGUUUGAGUCUAAUUUGAUUAGGGUGAUUAGUUAGUUUUCCAACAUGUCUGGUUUGCAUGCCAUAAGCAUUUGUCUUCUUGGGUGGGUCGUAGUCCAUAUAUGAUUCAAUGAGUUUGCAUAGCUAGCUGCCUACAUGCUGUACUAUCAUAUCUUGUAGUUAGCAUGCUUUACUAGUCUAGGAAAGGGCGCUGGAGUCUGAGUCGUUUUAGAUGCUAUAAGUACGAGCAGCUUUAGAUUGUUUCGGCCAUGUAGCUGGUCAUAUCGUGUAACCAGGUCGUGCAAGUUUUUUUUCCAUAUUAGAACAAGGUCAUGUAAGAGUUUUGAUAUAAAAGAAGAAAGAGUACGUUAAAGUUUUUCAUGCACAUGUGUACAGCUAUUUUGAUGUUUGAUUCUGUGGGCAAAACCGAACAUAGAUUACUAAUACAUAUGCCAAAUCACCAGGUUACAGAGGCUCGAUUGUUCCAAGUCGAUGUUGUUGGCGCUAAAACAUAAAAGACUACUAGUGCCAAGCUGGAUUUACUAGGAGGUAUUUUCUGAUGGUAGUUCCAUAUUGCGUGAAUGAUUCUUCACCAGUUUGAAUGGAAAUUUUGGAGUAUUAAUAGCAUACUUGACUAUAUUUUAUUAUCUUGCACAUGUUUCUCUCUUUUUUCACAUAAUUUGUACAAGCGAACACUUUUCUUGCAUGUGAAAAUGGUCGUACUGCUUAUGUGAGAUAAGACUCUUUGCGGCUAGAUUAGGUAAAACAAUUCAUCAACUACUGUAUGCCUGCCUUACAAUCCCCAACCCCUAUAAAACACUUUGUUUCUAGUAACAUGGUGAAACUUAAUAAUGAAAUUAGCUGAGUUAGUUUACUGAGCUAAAAUGACUAUUAUUAGCUACAAAUGUGAUACUGGAUAAAUCCGAACAAGAACCCUGCUUUUACUUCAAUCCAAAGGAUCAACCCCGAAUAUAAAGCUAAAGUUGAUGUUGUUAAACUUGGUAAUGAAUUCAUGGUAUUGUGAGCUGAUGCUAUAUUAGCAGAAUCUUAUUAGUCUCUACAACUACAAAAAAGGUCAAAAUUAUUAGUCACGCAGCAAGAUUAAUUAUCACAUUUCUUCAACUUUCUAUGUUGCUCCUCCUUUCAAUUUUUCUGCCCUAUUAACCUAUUUAAUUUCUUUGUUGUAGAUUGCAAUAUUCGAUGACGCAUGGCUCAGAUGUUGGUUGCAAGGUCAAGAAUAGGGGUGCUACUAGAUAGUUUCACAUUAUGCCUUAGAAUGCCAUUUCCAGUGCCAAUGUUUCAAUCAUUAUGUUUCGGAUAUUUUUGGUGUCAAUAUUUCGAUCAUUAUGUUUCAGAAUGGCUGACACGUUGGCUGCAAGGUCAAGAAUGAGAUUACUACUAGUUUCACAUCUUGUAAUUUUUGUAUGGUGUACUUUGUAAUGCAACCAAGUUGAUUUAAUAUAUGAGAAAUUUCCGUUUAUUAUACUGUGUCCCUUGUGUAAUACCGAUAUUGUCUAAUUCUAGACGCUGAUGUAUAAAUAUCAUGUAUUUUUUAUGGAAUGCACUAGUAUUGUAGUACUCAUUUAUAAUCAUGUUCUGUUGGGUAGCCACCAACGCAUGUGAACCGUUGUUGGGCUCUAACUCUAUACGUUGCUAUCUUACAACACUUAUUCAGGCCGUUUACCAACGGAUGC